rnacentral:rRNA from 1 species
AGCAGUAGCCGCGGGAAUACGAGGGGAGCAAGCGUUGUUCGGAAUUAUUGGGCGUAAAGGGUGCGUAGGCGGUUUGGCAAGUCUUGUGUGAAAUCUUCGGGCUCAACCGGGGAGGGUCAUUGGAAACUGGGAAACUUGAGUGCAGAAGAGGAGAGUGGAAUUCCACGUGUAGCGGUGCAAUGCGUAGAGAUGUGGAGGAACACCAGUGGCGAAGGCGACUCUCUGGUCUGUAACUGACGCUGAGGAGCGAAAGCGUGGGGAGCGAACAGGAUUAGAUACCCCCGUAGUCCCUGUCUCUUAUAA